rnacentral:rRNA from 1 species
UACGGAGGGUGCAAGCGUUAAUCGGAAUUACUGGGCGUAAAGCGCACGCAGGCGGUCUGUCAAGUCGGAUGUGAAAUCCCCGGGCUCAACCUGGGAACUGCAUUCGAAACUGGCAGGCUAGAGUCUUGCAGAGGGGGGUAGAAUUCCAGGUGUAGCGGUGAAAUGCGUAGAGAUCUGGAGGAAUACCGGUGGCGAAGGCGGCCCCCUGGACAAAGACUGACGCUCAGGUGCGAAAGCGUGGGGAGCAAACAGGAUUAGAUACCCUGGUAGUCCACGCCGUAAAAGAUGUCGAUUUGUAGGUUGUGGCCUUGAGGCGUGGCUGCCGGAGCUAAAGCGUUAAGUCGACCGCCUGGGGAGUACGGCCGCAAGGUUAAA